rnacentral:lncRNA from 1 species
UUGUAAAAUUGUUACCUUCCAGAAGUCUUAUAACUGGAAAAUUUGAACCAAAUCGGUGUUAUGAAAAUUAUGCAUUUUUCUUGUGAGUAUAGUAUGAUUGCUCAUACCUCGAAGAACCAAAGUAAAGAAAGGAAGAUCGUAAUGAAGAAUGACGUAGGUAUGUUUAAAAGCGGAUGUCCUCCAAUAAUCGCGCUGAUUGCUUUGAAGAGAGCAGUCAAUCUUCUUUCACCUGGUGCACUGUCGAAUAUUACCCCUUUUACCUUCAAUUUUAAUAGAAACGCACCACCAUUGCUGAAGACAUGAAAGAAUAUCGGGUACUGAUCCAGACUUUUGUCUGUGAUCACCUGGAUCAAUCGUUUACCAAUAUAAGGCAUCUUGUCCCUUCGCCAGAACAGGCAUUCUACCGGUGCCGUGUAACGCAGUGUGAUACACCUUCAAAGGCGAGCAAAAUACACUUAUCAUCAAUAAGAAAUAAUAUUGGAUACUCUACUUGAUUCUGUUCAUCUAAUCUCUUUGAAAUUACAAUACAUAAAUUCUACUCAAUUCCUGUUAAUGCUUAAUUAUUUACUGUCUUUGUAAGAUUAUGGUGGACUUAUAUAGGCUUACAUAGAAUAAGACAUUAUCAGCACAAGCGAAAGAAGUAUUUCAAAGAUAUUACAAAUCAAAAAAGGCAACAAAGGAAAAGAACGAUUUCUUACAGAAGGAACUAGGAAUAUAGAUUAAAAUAGUAUCAGGAAGCAAUAAUUAAAUAUUUGGAGAGGGUGGAAGAGAAAACAGAAAUUAUUAAAAAUAAAAAAUAUGUACAAAAAAAGAAAGGAAAAUAUAAAAAGAAAUUAGAGAUCAAGUACAAAAUGAAAGGACAUAUAAGUAAGCAAAAAUACAUUAUGAAGAAAACUGAUACAAUUGAGAAAGUUAAACAAUUUCAAAAGACAGGGAAAGUGUAUAAGAAUCUAAAUGUAAGUAAAUCAAAAGAACUACAAAAUUUUUUUUUUAAAUAGACUGGCCUAACGAACAAAGAUAGGAUGUUACAUAAAACAAUGACUAUGCUUCUCCUGUGGUCUAGUUAGGGGAACAGAGAUGGGAAAACUACUAAAAGUUUCUAUCAAAAGAAAAAAAAGAAUAUUUACCGUCUUUUAAACAUAAAUAAAGACUUGUUAUUAUUAGUAAACAAAUAUCUGGAACCCAGAACCAGAGUGUAAAUCUAUUUUACAAUAAGACAAUAUUUUCCAUGUCAACUGUAUCAAAUUUCUUACUCUUUCUAAUGGUAAGAAAUAUUUUAUUCUAAGUGGUUUAGUUUGUAGUAUAAUAGAAAAAUAUAAGUUGAUAGUGUGUUCUGAGUCAAACAGGUAAAUGAUUUGUUGUACUUUGUGACUCUGUGAGUGUCCACUCUAUAUGGUAUUACAUCUAUCAUAAAUGUUGAAAUAAUUUUGAACUGCAUACCUGUUUAAAAAGAUAUAUUAGAACCUUACAUGAUAAUCAAUGUUAAUGUCAAUAUUAAGUCAAGACAUAGUGACAUUAAAUCACUGAAACAUUAAGUCCAUAGUUAAAACUAUUCAGUAUCAAGUCUUAAUUUAUCUUUUUUGCUUUAAAGAGCAACAUGUCCACAAUUUCACUUUCAAACAAUAAAACGAUGCAUUUUUAUCAAUGGUUAAAAAUGACUUAUACAUUCAAUGCUUCUAAAGUUACAGUUCUGCACUUCGAUCUACUGACUUCUAAUAUUUGAAAAGUGUGACUUACACUCUGGCUUUAUGGUCCAGAUAUAGACAUUUGAGUACACAGCGCGCUAGAAAUAUGCGAACGGACUGAAAUUUAACACAGUAUUCGUGUUGUUAUCGAUUAAAUAAACAUCAUCGUUAGUACGA